rfam:Euryarchaeota archaeon TMED97 MHASMcontig_201274, whole genome shotgun sequence.
GCCGGGGUGGCGUAGUUGGUAGCGCGUCGGACUCAUAGGGUAUUUUUUACUAGAGAAAACUCUCUAGCAAAACUGAUGAUGAGCGUAACAUAGCCCCUUAGUAUGUCUGAGACAUCCGAAGGUCGCGGGUUCAAGUCCCGCUCCCGGCA